rnacentral:rRNA from 1 species
GAUGAACGCUGGCGGCGUGCCUAAUACAUGCAAGUCGAGCGAACAGACGAGGAGCUUGCUCCUUUGACGUUAGCGGCGGACGGGUGAGUAACACGUAGGUAACCUACCUAUAAGACUGGGAUAACUUCGGGAAACCGGAGCUAAUACCGGAUAAUAUUUCGAACCGCAUGGUUCGAUAGUGAAAGAUGGCUUUGCUAUCACUUAUAGAUGGACCUGCGCCGUAUUAGCUAGUUGGUAAGGUAACGGCUUACCAAGGCAACGAUACGUAGCCGACCUGAGAGGGUGGUCGGCCACACUGGAACUGCGACACGGUCCAGACUCCUACGGGAGGCAGCAGUAGGGAAUCUUCCGCAAUGGGCGAAAGCCUGACGGAGCAACGCCGCGUGAGUGAUGACGGUCUUCGGAUCGUAAAACUCUGUUAUUAGGGAAGAACAAACGUGUAAGUAACUGUGCACGUCUUGACGGUACCUAAUCAGAAAGCCACGGCUAACUACGUG